rnacentral:rRNA from 1 species
UACAGAGGGUGCGAGCGUUAAUCGGAAUUACUGGGCGUAAAGCGUGCGUAGACGGUCGCGUAAGUCAGAUGUGAAAGCCCCGGGCUCAACCUGGGAACUGCAUUUGAGACUGCUCUGCUCGGGUGCGGAAGAGGGAAGCGGAAUUUCCGGUGUAGCGGUGAAAUGCGUAGAUAUCGGAAGGAACACCAGUGGCGAAGGCGAGUCUCUGGACAUUUCCUGACGCUGAGGCACGAAAGCCAGGGGAGCAAACGGG